rnacentral:lncRNA from 1 species
AGGUAGUUGAGAACAAAGAAGUAUGUAGCUCCAGUUGCCACUGACAACUGUCUUGUUAUUAUGAGGCACUUGGAAAUGAGGCUUACAACAUCAUGAGAAAGACGGAGAGAGUCAGUUAUCUGACGACAUCUUUCAGCUACUGAUGGUGCCACUCCUUCCAGUUAGGGAGCAUCCAUGGGGAGUUAAUUUCCCCACACUUCUGGGUUGCAGCAUCUGGUGCUUGGAGGCUGCCCAGGAAGCCAGAUGUCAUGCUCCAUCAUGCGACAUUUCAUCCCAUUCUGGAAGUGGAGGGAUGACUCAAAGCAGAGCGUAUUUGACAACUUGAAGUGAUUGUAUUUGUGCCACUGGUUGCUGUCUGCCUCUCCUAUAGAAGGAAGAACCAAUCCCAGCACUUUGGGAGGCUGAGACUUGGGAGUUGGAAAGGAUAACUCACAUCUGCUCCAGGAAUUGCCACUUCCAGAGCCUACUGUCCUGAGCUUAUCCUCGGGGACUUACCUGCUUCCCAGGAGACCUCCACAAGCCAAGGAUACAGCUAAGCCACCCGCCGAGAGAUCAAGGUCUCCCAUACGGAGGAGAAAAGUUUUCCCUAGCUUCUUAUCAUUCCCAGGUUGACUUCUCAGUCCCUAGAAUGACAGACAGUGCUAACAUCCAAUUCCAAAGAGGGAGGCCCACCACCGUACCACCUGGUCUGCUCUCAGAAUCCUGUUCCAUAUGGAACGCAGCAGGUCAGAUGCUUGGUGCCAGGCAUGGUAAAAUGGAAAAAUGCUGAAGGCUGUGUCUGUUGGGCAUGUGCCAUCUUAUAGAAAUGGAAAGUAGAUUCCAAACAUUCAAUAAUCUCAUGUUACGGUUCAUGAGUACCUUAGAAUCAACUGAAUUUUCACUUUUCAUCUAUUGUAGGGGAUAGGUGUUAGAAGGAUCCACGAGGAUGGCUUCCACCUUCCAGCAGUGGUCGGCAAUCCCAUGACUGGAAUUGGUCCCUAUUGAUCUUCGGUGGCAUUUUGUCCAAGGUCACUGCUUACCUCCAAUCUGAUCCUUAUUUUGGAGGCAGUGCAGCACAGAGGAAAGAACUAGGCACUGGUAUCUCAGAGAUUGGGAAUGGAAUCCCCAUUCUGUUUCUCACUAGCUGUAUGGUCUUGAGCAAGAAGCUUUCACAUUCAGAUCUUCAGCUGCCUCAUCUAAUAUCCAAUAGUGAUAGUGAAGAAUAAAGGAGACAAUAUAUGGAGAUUAUUUAGCACAUGCCUGGCACACAGUGGGUAUCUUAGAAAGAGUAGCUUUUGUGUCUUCAACUCAGCUUUUAGAGAGCAUUCAUGUUUUACUGAUCCAUUUCCUACUGCCCUCCUCGGUAGCCAUGAACCUAGCAUGUGCCUUAAUAUGUGUUCAGUAAAUAUUUGCUGAAUGAUGAAUACGCGAAUAAAUGAAUGAAUAUGAAAACUGUCUAUGAUGUCUAGAGGGACAUUUGAGCAAUCUCAUUUUUUAGUCGUGGAGAGCAAUAUCUGCUAUUUGGCAGAUAGCAUUAUCAGGAAUCAUCAGAAAGCAUGCAGAGUUGUGAAAUGUCAAUGCACCCAUCCUUUGAAGAGUCGGCACUUCUGCCAAAGCUGC